rnacentral:antisense_RNA from 1 species
UUGCAUAUCUAUUAUUGUUAGAAACUGAUCCUGAAACUAUACCAUGCUCAUCCUCUCCAGAUGAAGAUCCUCCUCCAACAGCUCCUGAACCAUACUUUGAACUCUUUCCUCUUCCCUUUCUUCCCCCUACAUACUCUUGAUCAGCACCUAAAAUUGCAUCAUCAUCACUCAUUAGAAUAUCAUCAUAGCCAUAUUUAAGGGAUACAAAUCUUCCUGAUCUAGUAGUGGUAGUACAACUACCACUACCAUAACCUCUUCUUCCCCUUGUACCAAUUGAAGAAUUUCCGCCCAUAGAUACUCCUCCUGCUGAACCAAUUCCUCCUACAUUAUUACUAUAUGGAUCAGAUUUAUAUGUUCUACCUCC